GACGAACGCUGGCGGCGUGCUUAACACAUGCAAGUCGAACGGAAACGCCUUCUUUCCCUGCUGGUUUGCGGGUACUCUAGUGGCGAAGGGGGGAGUAACACGUGAGUGAUCUGCCCGCAGCUUGUGUAGAAGCCUGGGAUACUCUGUCUAAUUCUCGAUAGUACUGGUGGGUGGUGCCGGUGUUGGAAAACGAUGUGCUAGUGGUUGGGGAUGAGCGCGCGGCUUGUGAGCUGGUUGGUGGGGUAAUGGACUACCAAUGCGGCGACGGGUAGCCAGAGUGAGAGGGGGGACGGCGACAUUGGGACUGGGAUACGGCCCAGACUGGUACGGGAGGCAGCAGUGUGGAAUAAUGGACAAUGGGCGGAAGCCUGAUGAAGCGACGCAGCGUGGGGGAUGACGGGCUUCGGGUUGUAAACUGCUUUGGAAGGCGAGGAAGCCACCUGGUUGGAAGGGUGGUGACGGUAGUGGUAGAAGAAGCACCGGCUAACUACGUG
rnacentral:rRNA from 1 species